rnacentral:rRNA from 1 species
GACGAACGCUGGCGGCGUGCUUAACACAUGCAAGUCGAACGAUGAAGCCGGAGCUUGCUCUGGUGAAUUAGUGGCGAACGGGUGAGUAACACGUGAGUAACCUGCCCUUGACUCUGGGAUAACCGCGGGAAACUGUAGCUAAUACCGGAUACGACCCUCGGAGGCAUCUCCUGGGGGUGGAAAGAAUUUCGGUCAAGGAUGGACUCGCGGCCUGUCAGCUAGUUGGUGAGGUAAAGGCUCACCAAGGCGACGACGGGUAGCCGGCCUGAGAGGGUGGCCGGCCACAGUGGUACUGAGACACGGCGCAGACUCCUACGGGAGGCAGCAGUAGGGAAUAUUGCACAAUGGGCGCAAGCCUGAUGCAGCAACGCCGCGUGAGGGAUGACGGCCUUCGGGUGGUAAACCUCUUUUAGCAGGGACGAAGCGAAAGUGACGGUACCUGCAGAAAAAGCACCGGCUAACUACGUGCCAGCAGCCGCGGUAA